rnacentral:rRNA from 1 species
AUUGAACGCUGGCGGCAUGCUUUACACAUGCAAGUCGAACGGCAGCGCGGGCUUCGGCCUGGCGGCGCGUGGCGAACGGGUGAGUAAUGCAUCGGAACGUGCCCAGCAGUGGGGGAUAGCCCGGCGAAAGCCGGAUUAAUACCGCAUCCGACCUGAGGGUGAAAGGGGGGGACCGAUAGGCCUCGCGCUAUUGGAGCGGCCGAUGUCGGAUUAGCUAGUUGGUGGGGUAAAGGCUUACCAAGGCGACGAUCCGUAGCUGGUCUGAGAGGACGACCGGCCACACUGGGACUGAGACACGGCCCAGACUCCUACGGGAGGCAGCAGUGGGGAAUUUUGGACAAUGGGGGCAAGCCUGAUCCAGCCAUGCCGCGUGCGGGAAGAAGGCCUUCGGGUUGUAAACCGCUUUUGUUCGGGAAGAAAUACUCUGGGCUAAUACCCCGGGGGGAUGACGGUACCGGAAGAAUAAGCACCGGCUAACUACGUG